GCAGGUUUACCUGUAUACUCUGACUGGGCAAAUCGUCACAGUGGAACUUUUAGAAAUGUCUGGAAAAGGCAGUAAGGGAUUUGCUGCUGUUUGUUCCCCAAUACAUCUUCUCUUUUUCACCAUUGAGGGUUGAGUUGAGAGACGGAGGAGGAGGUUUUAGUCUAGUUAAAAAUGAUUGCAGGUUCUUUGUAGUCGUCAUUCAUCAUUCAGGCUUAUUUUUCUUCUCAAAUUCUGAUUUGCCAAAGUUGAAAGAGUGACAAUAUAGGGAUUUGGUCUCUCCCCGCAUCGAGGGAUUGAGUUGAGAGGCAGAUGGUUAUAGUCUAAUUAAAAAUGACUGCAGGUUCUUUGCAGUCGACAUUCAUCAUUCAGGGGUGCAAGUAUUGGGCAUUAAAUUUUUGUUUGCUCAGUCCAUCAGAACUAUGGGAAUGUCAAGGCAAUAUCAAAUAUGAGAUCUAGGUGGUGAUUGGAAAAUUUUCUAGGAAAGGUAAACGCGAAAUAGUAAUAUUUUCUUUUAAAUUUAUUGUUCAAAGUAGAGGCUUGUUGUAAUUUCGUGUAUCU
rnacentral:misc_RNA from 1 species